rnacentral:rRNA from 1 species
GACGUAGGGCGCAAGCGUUGUCCGGAUUUACUGGGCGUAAAGAGCUCGUAGGCGGCCUGUCGCGUCGACCGUGAAAACCCGCAGCUCAACUGCGGGCUUGCGGUCGAUACGGGCAGGCUGGAGUUCGGUAGGGGAGACUGGAAUUCCUGGUGUAGCGGUGAAAUGCGCAGAUAUCAGGAGGAACACCAAUAGCGAAGGCAGCUCGCUGGGACGUUACUGACACUGAGGCGCGAAAGCGUGGGGAGCGAACAGG